rnacentral:miRNA from 1 species
UAACACUUUUAAGAUCGGUCAUAAAAUAACCGAUCUUAAAAGUACUUUUAUGAUCAGUUAAAUUUUAACCGAUCUUAAAAGUUUUC